rnacentral:lncRNA from 1 species
AAACCUUCCUGCUGGAACUGCUAAGGACUACAAGUAAAAGGAUCCAACCCGGAAUACCACAUUAUAUUCGGUCAUCUCGUAUCUCAAGUCUCCACUGCUCUGUUACAGUUUACCAAUCUUCCCGGAUUCUUCAAGAUUCUACAGCUUUCAGGCAUCCUGGCCAGUUUCCUUUUAGACUAUCCCUAAAGCUGGAUUUUUCGUAUGUUUUCCUCAUGAUUAGACUCCAUUUAGGGGGUUUGGAGAAGAAUAUCAAAUUUCCUUUUAUCAUUGUCAUGCCAGAGGUUUUCUGCAAUUAAUAUGAUUUGUCAUUGGUGAUGAUCACCCUAACCACUUGUUUAAAGUAUUUUUGUAGCUUUCUCCACUGUAAAGAUGCUAUUUUUCCUUUUAUACUCUGUUCUGUGAAAGGAGUCCACAUCAUACUGAAGAGGUUAAUCCAUAUUCCCUCUGUGAAGGCAUUUCAUCUUUUCCUGGGCAAAUAUGACUGCUUAGUUUUAAGAUUAUCAUUACCGGCCAAAACGGUGAGAAAAAUAAAACUUGGAAGGCUGGAACUCCUUGAUAGCUUUGAAAGUGUUUGCUUCCUGAAGAGUUGCAUUUCCAGAAACAUGCAGUGGGAAACUAUUGUGCUUUGGGUCCUGCCUUCAAGCAAGAUAACACUUCGCUACUCAAAGGAGACUCUGACAAGAAAAAGAAAGAGGAAGUCAUAGACUGGGAAGAAAUAUUUAUAAAACAUCUAUCUGAUAAAGGCUUUGUAUCUAGGAUGCAUAAAGAACACUUAGAACUUAAUAAUAAGCAGUCUAACAACCCAAUACAAGAACAGAUGAAAGAAUUGAAGAGACGCUUCACAGAAGA